GACAGAGGGUGCAACCGUUGUUCGGAAUUACUGGGCGUAAAGCGCGUGUAGGCUGCUUCGCAAGUCGGAUGUGAAAGCCCUGGGCUCAACCCAGGAAGUGCAUUCGAAACUGCAGAGCUGGAGUCCUGGAGAGGAAGGCGGAAUUCUCGGUGUAGAGGUGAAAUUCGUAGAUAUCGAGAGGAACACCGGUGGCGAAGGCGGCCUUCUGGACGGUGACUGACGCUGAGACGCGAAAGCGUGGGGAGCAAACAGG
rnacentral:rRNA from 1 species